rnacentral:rRNA from 1 species
GACGAACGCUGGCGGCGUGCUUAACACAUGCAAGUCGAACGGAAAGGCCCGGCUUUUGUGGGGAGCUCGAGUUGCGAACGGGUGAGUAACCCGUGAGUAACCUGUCCCUGACCGUGGGAUAACUUCAGGAAACUGGGUCUAAUACCGGCUAGGAGCUCCUGCUGCUUGGUGGGGGUUGGUAGGAUUAGGUGGUUGGGGAUGGACUCGCGGCCCAUCAGCUUGUUGGAUGGGUAGUGUCUUACCAAGGCUUUGACGCGUAGCCGGGCUGAGAGGGUGAGAGGACAAAUUAGGACUGAAAUGCGGCACAGACUACUAUGGGACGGAGCAGUGGAGAAUAGUGCAUAAUGGGCGGAAGGCUGAUGCAGCAAAGCCGCGUGGGGGAAGACGGGCAUCGGGUAGUAAACCGCUGUCGCCUGUGCCGAAGCGAGAGUGACGGUAAUGGGUAAAGAAGCUCCGGCUAACUACGUG